UCAGGCCUAACACAUGCAAGUCGAGCGGUAGCGGGAAGAGCUUGCUCUUUGCCGACGAGCGGCGGACGGGUGCGUAACACGUAGGAAUCUGCCUGGUAGUGGGGGAUAGCCCGGAGAAAUCCGGAUUAAUACCGCAUACGCCCUACGGGGGAAAGGAGGGGACUCUUCGGAGCCUUUCGCUAUCAGAUGAGCCUGCGUCGGAUUAGCUUGUUGGUGGGGUAAAGGCCUACCAAGGCGACGAUCCGUAGCUGGUCUGAGAGGAUGAUCAGCCACACUGGGACUGAGACACGGCCCAGACUCCUACGGGAGGCAGCAGUGGGGAAUAUUGCACAAUGGGCGAAAGCCUGAUGCAGCCAUGCCGCGUGUGUGAAGAAGGCCCUAGGGUUGUAAAGCACUUUCAGUGGGGAGGAAGGGUUGAAGGUUAAUACCCUUCAGCUGUGACGUUACCCACAGAAGAAGCACCGGCUAACUCCGCGCCAGCAGCCGCGGUAAUACGGAGGGUGCGAGCGUUAAUCGGAAUUACUGGGCGUAAAGCGUGCGUAGGCGGCCACCUAAGUUGGAUGUGAAAGCCCCGGGCUCAACCUGGGAACUGCAUCCAAAACUGGGUGACUAGAGUACGGGAGAGGAGUGUGGAAUUUCCUGUGUAGCGGUGAAAUGCGUAGAUAUAGGAAGGAACACCAGUGGCGAAGGCGACACUCUG
rnacentral:rRNA from 1 species